CCCUUAGAUGCUCUGGGCCGCACGCGCGCUACACUGGUCGAUGCAACGAGUUUCUUUCCUUGGCCGACAGGCCUGGGCAAUCUUUGAACAUCGAUCGUGAUCGGGAUAGAUUCUUGUAAUUUUUGAUCUUAAACGGGGAAUUCCUAGUAAACGCAAGUCAUCAGCUUGCAUUGAUUACGUCCCUGCCCUUUGUACACACCGCCCGUCGCACCUACCGAUUGAAUGGUCCGGUGAAAUCUCCGGACUGGCGUGAGUCGGAGCAAUCUGACAAACGCCGGAAAGUUGAUUAAACCUUACCAUUUAGAGGAAGGUGAAGUCGUAACA
rnacentral:rRNA from 1 species